rnacentral:rRNA from 1 species
UGAUCCCCCACACUGGUACUGAGACACGGACCAGACUCCUACGGGAGGCAGCAGUAAGGAAUAUUGGACAAUGGAGGCAACUCUGAUCCAGCCAUGCCGCGUGAAGGAUUAAGGCCCUAUGGGUUGUAAACUUCUUUUAGACGGGACAAAACCCCUUUACGUGUAAAGGGUUGAUGGUACUGUCAGAAUAAGCAUCGGCUAACUUCGUGCCAGCAGCCGCGGUAAUACGAAGGAUGCAAGCGUUAUCCGGAAUUAUUGGGUUUAAAGGGUGCGUAGGCGGACUAAUAAGUCAGUGGUGAAAGCCUGCAGCUUAACUGCAGAAUUGCCGUUGAUACUGUUAGUCUUGAGUACAGUUGAGGUAGGCGGAAUGUGUCAUGUAGCGGUGAAAUGCUUAGAUAUGACACAGAACACCGAUUGCGAAGGCAGCUUGCUAAGCUGUAACUGACGCUGAGGCACGAAAGCGUGGGGAGCAAACAGGAUUAGAUACCCUGGUAGUCCACGCCCUAAACGAUGAUAACUCGCUGUUGGCGAUACACUGUCAGCAGCCAAGCGAAAGCAUUAAGUUAUCCACCUGGGGAGUACGACCGCAAGGUUGAAACUCAAGGAAUUGACGGGGGCCCGCACAGCGGAGGAGCAUGUGGCUUAUUCGAUGAUACGCGAGGAACCUUACCUGGGC